rnacentral:rRNA from 1 species
AGAGUUUGAUCAUGGCUCAGAUUGAACGCUGGCGGCAUGCUUUACACAUGCAAGUCGAACGGCAGCGCGGGGGCAACCCUGGCGGCGAGUGGCGAACGGUGAGUAAUGCAUCGGAACGUAUCCUGUAAUGGGGAUAACGUAGCGAAAGUUACGCUAAUACCGCAUACGCUCGAGAGAGGAAAGUGGGGGAUCGCAAGACCUCACGUUAUAGGAGCGGCCGAUGUCCGAUUAGCUAGUUGGUGGGGUAAAGGCCUACCAAGGCGACGAUCGGUAGCUGGUCUGAGAGGAUGAUCAGCCACACUGGGACUGAGACACGGCCCAGACUCCUACGGGAGGCAGCAGUGGGGAAUUUUGGACAAUGGGCGAAAGCCUGAUCCAGCCAUGCCGCGUGCGGGAAGAAGGCCUUCGGGUUGUAAACCGCUUUAGUCCGGGAAAAAGGGGUGCGAGGAUAAUACCCUCGUGCUUUGAUGGUACUGGAAGAAUAAGCACCGGCUAACUACGUG